UACGGAGGGGGCUAGCGUUGCUCGGAAUUACUGGGCGUAAAGCGCACGUAGGCGGCGAUGCAAGUUAGGUGUGAAAGGCCUGGGCUUAACCCAGGGACUGCACUUGAUACUGUGUUGCUAGAGUCCAAGAGAGGGUAGUGGAAUUCCCAGUGUAGAGGUGAAAUUCGUAGAUAUUGGGAAGAACACCAGUGGCGAAGGCGACUCUCUGGUCCGAUACUGACGCUGAGGUGCGAAAGCGUGGGGAGCAAACAGG
rnacentral:rRNA from 1 species